GAUGAACGCUGGCGGCGUGCCUAAUACAUGCAAGUCGAGCGAACGGACGAGAAGCUUGCUUCUCUGAUGUUAGCGGCGGACGGGUGAGUAACACGUGGAUAACCUACCUAUAAGACUGGGAUAACUUCGGGAAACCGGAGCUAAUACCGGAUAAUAUUUUGAACCGCAUGGUUCAAUAGUGAAAGACGGUCUUGCUGUCACUUAUAGAUGGAUCCGCGCUGCAUUAGCUAGUUGGUAAGGUAACGGCUUACCAAGGCAACGAUGCAUAGCCGACCUGAGAGGGUGAUCGCCGACAUUGGAACUGAGACACGGUCCAGAGUCCUACGAGAGGGAGCAGUAGGGAACCUGCCGCAGAGGGCGAAAGCCUGACGGAGCAACGCCGCGUGAGUGAUGAAGGUCUUCGGAGCGUAAAACUCGGUUAUGAGGGAAGAACAGAUGUGUAAGUAACUGUGCACAUCUUGACGGUACCUAAUCAGAAAGCCACGGCUAACUACGUG
rnacentral:rRNA from 1 species